AACGAACGCUGGCGGCAUGCCUAACACAUGCAAGUCGAACGCUCCCUUCGGGGACAGUGCCGCAAGGGUGCGUCACGCGUGUGAGUCAGCCGUUAGGAUCGUACUCUAUACGAGAAAUUUGAGCUCAUAAAGGAGAAUGACUUCGGCCCAAAGAUUGUUGGCCUUUGGUUGGGCCAGUGUUAGACGCGCUAGUUGGUGGGGUAAAGGCCCACCCAGGCGACGAUCUAUAGCUGGUAUGAGAGGAUGAUCAGACACACUGGGACUGAGACACGCGGCAGACUCCUACAGGAAGCAGCAGGUGAGAAUAUUGUACAGCGGGGGAAAGUCUGAUAAAACAAUGCCGCGUGAGUGAUGAAGGCCUUAGGGGUGUAAAGCUCUUUUACCCGGGAUGAUAAUGACAGUACCGGGAGAAUAAGCCCCGGCUAACUCCGUG
rnacentral:rRNA from 1 species